GGAAGCGCGUGCGGCCACCAUGGCGCGGAAUGUAGGUAUCCCGUACCAGUUGGGUGGCCCACAACUUCGGGUGUUCCGAACCAACUUCUUCAUUCAGCUGGUGGCGCCCGGUGUGGCCCAACCCGAGGACACCGUGCAGUUCCGGAUCCCCAUGGAAAUGACAAGGGUAGACCUCAGGAAUUACCUCGAGAGCAUCUAUAACGUGCCCGUGGCUGCCGUGCGGACACGGGUGCAGUAUGGCUCUAACAAGAGAAGAGAUCACACAAACGUGAGGAUCAAGAAGCCGGACUACAAGGUCGCCUACGUGCAGUUGGCCCAUGGACAGACCUUCACGUUCCCAGAUCUGUUUCCCGAGAAAGACCAGAGCCCCGAAGGCAGCACUGCCGACGGACUCCACGACAUGCUCGCGGAGGAGAGGCAGCAGAGGCAGAGCAGUGACCCUUGGCGGGGCGGCGUCCCCAACUGGUUCGGGCUGUGAUGGGGCGGCCAUAAGGGAUGCGCCCCAGGUAGGCA